rnacentral:rRNA from 1 species
UACGAAGGGGGCUAGCGUUGCUCGGAAUCACUGGGCUUAAAGGGCGCGUAGGCGGGUUGUCAAGUCAGGGGUGAAAUCCUCCAGCUCAACUGGAGAAGUGCCUUUGAUACUGAUGAUCUUGAGGGAGGUAGGGGCAUGUGGAACUUCCGGUGGAGCGGUGAAAUGCGUAGAUAUCGGAAGGAACGCCGGUGGCGAAAGCGACGUGCUGGACCUCUUCUGACGCUGAGGCGCGAAAGCUAGGGGAGCGAACGGG